AUGCAGCAACCAAUAUGGCUCAAGGUUCAGAAGAAAUUUGAGGCUGACCAGGAUCCUGAAGUGAAGAGCAGUCCCUCUCCCAUUUAACAGCGUUCAUGAGCAGAAAGUGCGGAAGCAGAGAUAGCCACCUCUGAAGGUCAGUCCGGAGUGUUUGCUGCAUUCAGAAAUUAUGGGGUGUAUAGUAGUUGUAAGUAGCGUUACAAAGGUGUUUCUUAGUCUUAGGUUUAGUUUGUAUAGUAUUUCCAGUAGGUGCAGUUGUGUUGUAGUUUGAGUUAGUAAGUAGGCUUUAGUUGAUAGUUAGACAGCUUAGAGGAGUGUAGGUUAUUAUUGUAAUUAAGGUAUUUGUUAGUUAGUGCAUGAUUAGUGCUUGUGGUGGAUAGGUUUGCAUGAUUAACACCCUAACAAGCAGGGUUCUCCAUGAGCUGUUUUACUGUGUUGGUCCCAACACGGAAAAAUGUUCUCCGACACAGUAAAGAUUCAAAUUUUAUC